GUUCUGUCAUGGUAGGGUAAUAUGUCUAUCAUUAUCAUGGAAGUUAAUUCAUGUAGAGUAAGAUUACUAGAGAUUAGUUUCUGAAAUAAUGUUCUGUCAUGGUAGGGUAAUAUGUCUAUCAUUAUCAUGGAAGUUAAUUCAUGUAGAGUAAGAUUACUAGAGGUUAGUUUCUGAAAUAAUGUUCUGUCAUGGUAGGGUAAUAUGUCUAUCAUUAUCAUGGAAGUUAAUUCAUGUAGAGUAAGAUUACUAGAGGUUAGUUUCUGAAAUAAUGUGGAAAUUAAUUUAGUCAGUGUGACAUGAGAAGAGGAUAAUACACUCAAACUCAAGUCGUUCUGAAAUAACAUUCUGUCAGUAUGAUAUUAAAUUCAUGUAGAGGUUAGUUUCUGAAAUAAUGUUCUGUCAUAGUAGGGUAAUAUGUCUAUCAUUAUCAUGGAAGUUAAUUCGUGUAGAGUAAGGUUACUAGAGAUUAGUUUCUGAAAUAAUGUUCUGUCAUGGUAGGGUCAUAUUUCUGUCGUAUCAUGGAAGUUAAUUCAUGUAGAGUAAGAUUACUAGAGGUUAGUUUCUGAAAUAAUGUGGAAAUUAAUUUAGUCAGUGUGACAUGAGAAGAGGAUAAUACACUCAAACUCAAGUCGUUCUGAAAUAACAUUCUGUCAG